AGAGUUUGAUCCUGGCUCAGAACGUACGCUGGCGGCACGCCUAACACAUGCAAGUCGAACGAAGUAGCAAUACUUAGUGGCAGACGGGUGAGUAACAUGUAGGUAUCUACCCUUUGGCCUGGAAUAACACGAGGAAACUUGUGCUAAUACCGGAUAAGUCUUUACGGAGAAAGCUUUAUGCACCAUUGGAUGAGCCUGCACUUGAUUAGUUUGUUGGUAGGGUAAUGGCCUACCAAGACUUUGAUCAAUAGCUGAUUUGAGAGGAUGAUCAGCCACAUUGGGACUGAGACACGGCCCAAACUCCUACGGGAGGCAGCAGUGGGGAAUCUUGCACAAUGGAGGAAACUCUGAUGCAGCGAUGCCGCGUGAGUGAAGAAGGCCCUUGGGUUGUAAAGCUCUUUCGUCGGGGAAGAAAAUGACUGUACCCGAAUAAGAAGGUCCGGCUAACUUCGUGCCAGCAGCCGCGGUAAU
rnacentral:rRNA from 1 species